AUGCAUGAAAUCCUUGAAUGCUUAUGUUUGUUAAUGUUGAUUAUGAUUGAUGUGAAGCUUACCCCUAGUGGUUUUGACCACCUACCUGUUUGUAUGAAUGGGUAGACGAAGUGCAUGAGUAGUUUGCUUGUUUCGGUGAGUGCUUGGAUAGCGGGUCCGUUAUCAGUCUUAGAGUAGGCUCUGAUCUAGGAUGUUUGUCUUUAUGAUUAUUCGAGAUUGAUUAUGUUGGAUUUAUGUUGUUGAGUUUUGGCCCAUAUGUCGGGAUUUAGAGAUUUUAUAUAUUGAUAUAUAUUGAUUUUAUGACAUGUAUAUUUGG
rnacentral:lncRNA from 1 species